GCCGGUAGUAACAAAAGAAGAAGUAGAAAUACCGCCGCCGUAGUAAGUAGGUCCAACCUGCGGAGUACUAUAGAAGCGAUGAUGAAAUCGACGAUGUCGAUCAUCCAACGGACUCGGAAAGCUCCACGACGAAUCCUCAACCUUCCGUCGCGAGACGUACGGAGAAACAGAGCGCGGAAACACCAGAGGCGGCGGUGGAAGAGGAUCGGACUUCCUUGGUAAAUCCUCCGCCGCCGCCGCCGUCGCACAGGAACGAAGUCGAGAUAGUUGCACUUCGUGAGCCUCCGCCCUGGCCUGAGCUGCCAUGAGUGAGAGAAGCCGCUCCCGGAGACAUGUGGC
rnacentral:misc_RNA from 1 species